CAUAAUCACUAUUUUCUGGUUACGUGCCUAAAUACAGAAAAAGAAAUUAUAAUAAGAGCCUUAACUUUAUUACGUUGCUAUAUUAUUAACAAAUUACUCUAAUUUGUAUUAAAGAGCUUAGAGAUGACGUCAAUGACAAUAGAUCCGAAAUCAAAUCAAUAUUAUUAUUAUCCUAAAAAAGCACAACAAAAGUUUCAUGAAAUCAAAAUGAUGGCAAGUAUGAGCAAUACUCAAGUAGACAAUAUAGAAAAACUGAAUCCGAAGUCCAUUAACACCCUCUAGCUAUAACCCUAUUCACUUGUUGAUCUCCUUAUCUUCUUUAAAAAUAUUUAAAUUUAAUAAACCACCCCAGUAAAUUAAUUCUCUCCAUAUAAUAAGCCUCUUGUCAAGUUGAGGAAUAAAUGCAUUUCAUGUGCUAAUUCUGGUUCUUGGUCAAAAUGACUUAGUAGUAGUUAUAAUUCUGGUUCUUGGUCCACAAACACACACGCAGAAAGAAAACAACCACUUCAUGGUAGAAUAUUCGGUGGGGAUAAGAGGGAAAUAACAAUAAAAUGGGGAGGGUGUUACCUGACAGAGAGAUCAAGGUCUUUUUAUUUGGUGAUGAGGUGUGAUACAUUCUCUUUUCUUUGGGGAGUUCAAAAGACGUUUAAGUUGCAUAUGUUUUCUGCAUCAUUGAAUAGUGCAAUAGAAUUAACGAAAAGAAUUGAAAAAUCAAUGCAAAAGAAAUCUCUCUACGAACUGAAGCAGAGAUAAUAAUCAGUUUCAAGGCUAUCAAUCAAAACACUUUCAAGAUGGAAAAUAACAGCAGUAAAGGUAUGACUGGGUGUAAAUUAUGUUGCCUUUAUUAUGCAUAACUUAUGUUAACGGCUAAUUUAUGUUGCUUCUAUUUUGCAAACUUAUAAUUAACAAAAGAUUUGAAACAAAAAGGUAGACUAAUUUUAAAUGAAACUUAAAUCUGACUUAAAUUGGUAAGAAAAGCACUCCAUUUCUCAAGUAUAAUGAGAAAAAAAUUCUGGGAUGUACUUCCCCAGUUACUGAAUAUUUACAUACCUUUUGUAUUAAAUCGUUAAGAAGUAUUUUUACGAACCUGAACAUUUCCAGGAUCUGAUUUAUGUAUACAUUUUCAAUCCAUCACUCCCAACAACUGCUGUCAUUUUCAAACAAAAGAUGUUAGGCACUGGUAAACCUUAUAUUUGGAUAAAUUUAAUGAAACACCAUAAUUUCUACCUUAUUCUGCAAUAUUCUGACCUGUUCACUCAUCCCUUCAUGGUCUCCUUCCUCGUAAACUGACUUUAAUCUAAUAAAUAUUGCAUAGUAAAAAUUAUCAACAAUACUAAUUAAAAGAUUUGGUGUUCCAAAUGUGAAUAAAAGUGAUAGCACGCAUUUGCUUUCUUGUGUUUACCAAUAAUAUUACCAUGAUAUAAGAUUAAAGUAGUAUUCCAGAUAGGCUCUCUAUUCUCUACAUCCCUUUCAAGAAUUGGACUCACCAUGACAAUAUUAUACUUUUGGACCAGGUCUUGCAAAAAUUGAGUCGCUUUCCUAUUAACUGACACCACAAACUCACAUUAUUGUUUCUCCCUUGUAAAGGAUGCAAAAGGUGUGUCCAUGCUUUACUCAAGUUGAUUAUACAUCUAACAUCGUGUAUAAGUGCUCCACGUUCACACAACUUCAAAAUAUCCCUUCAACCUCUUCAUCUGCAUCAAACCAAACCUGAAAAAUGUCAUGGACAAAGUGUUAAACAUUAAUCCAGAUCAAAAUCCACAAUUACAUCUCUAGCAUCCUAGCAUUAUAUAAGAAAGGAAAGUAUAUAAACAUGAUAUGAUAUGGCUUGAUCAACAUAUUUAUCAUAUCAUCAUAACCACCAGGAAGAAAAUAAUCCAGCGAUUUUUGUCAUGCACUCAAGGUAGUUCCUUCUUGAUGCCGUUGUGACAUGUUACUUCCCAUGCUAAAAGUGAUUUUGCAGAAAUUCAAUUCAUACUAUUUCCUUCAAAUUUCUAUUCUUGAAUUCCAAACUUCAAUUUUAACUGAAAGUACAUUGCACAAAUUAAAUAUCUAUUUUUUUUUCAAAUCAAACUAACUCCAAAUAAUGAAAAUUAUUAAGACUUCAAAAGAGAUUCUAGAAUCUUAAUUUCUCUAACAUAGCAAAACAGAAUAUGUACUAUAAGAUGUAAGAAUUUUACAAGUAGAUUCCAUUACGGGAGAAUGAUAAUGAAUCGAAUCAAUUGGUUGUAAAAUUUGGUAAUUACAUUGCUCGGAGAAAAUCUGGUUAAUCUCGAGAUACAUUCCUAACUCGAUGUAAACAUACAUCAACAUACAUCACUCCUUAAAAGACUGACAUAGGAAGUUUAUAAAAACAAAUGGUUAAACAGAUUUACAAAACCAAAUUACUGCUGUGUGUAAAACCCCCAACAUUUAGCAAAUUCCAAGUUGUGUUUUUAAAAAAAUCUAAACAAUAAAACUCCACCAUUAGGUAAGGAAGAAGACGAACACCCACAAGGUUUUACAAACUAUUCACUACGCGAGACCAUAUAUAAUCUUGGUUAGAAUGGGAUCUCUCUUCUAUUCAGUUAUAUUCUCCAUCAAUCAUCACAACUCUAUUCAACUUACUUUUGAUCAAUUUGCAUAAAUUUUCAUUGUGCAGCACUUUCGAGAGCAUUCAAUAAUUAGGUUUGCACUGAGCUAACACAGUGAAAUGCCAUAGUGUAGACUUAUCAUAGUUUAAACAAUCUCACUGGGUUUGUCAAGGUAGCUGCAGUGACAACAUCUAACCUAAUGAUUAUUACCAUUUUUAAAAACCACAACUGAUGAAAAUUAUUACCGUAAUUAACAAAUAGGUUUGUUUGUUCAUGUGUAACGUAAACGACAUACCUUGAGUUGGUAUGUUUUCUUUAUUUGGUUCUCCAAUUCAUUUGAAUAACUCGAAAACUUGAUAAUCAUCAGGUUGCUUAAAGAUUAGUCGAGAAAAAGUCAUAUGUAGAUACAAAAUUACAUAUAACUUGUCGGAAAAAUAUGAUACCCUUAGAAAACUGAUAGUGUGGAAAGAAACAGAUAAUAUCCUAUAUAAUUGUACUCUAUAUGGGAAUAACAUUUCAAAAGUAACAAUGAAUCUAACCUACUUUUGAGGUCAAAAGGUUCAACCUAAUCGUAAUACUAUUAUAGAUCUUAUCUAUCCAUAAGACCAUCAAAUAUCUCAUAUUUAUUUUCAAGAAAACUAUCAGAGGGAUGAAUCGAUCUGUAAGAAACACCAUUAGUAAUGGUAUGAACUCAAGAGUGUUAUAAUAUGUUAUACCAUUAGUUAUAUUCUAUAAUUAGGUGUUAAUCUCCAGAAAAUUUCCAGAAUUCCACCACUGAUUGAGACGAGAACAACAGCUGCGUAUCGAUCCCUAAAUAACACACCAGUCUCCACCCAUGAAUCCCUUCUACAAACAAAGUGACUAUAUUAUUAUUGCCGAUAUGACCAUCAGAGAUGUAAGCACCAAUCAAGGGUCCAAAAUUGGUCGUACCAGACCAAAUGUUGAUAACAUUGGUAGCAAAUACUUGAUCCAUGUGAUAUUCAUUGAGUAGCUACACCAUGAUGUUUGCUAACAAUCCUAUUGUUGCUAAUGUGGAGCUGUAUAUUUGGGUGUCAAUCAAAACGGUUUUUCUUGUCAGAUUGUUAGGAACAUCAUACGGUUGAAGUUUGUGAUGUUAUACUUAAUAACAUCACAAACUUUAUGUUAUCUCUCACUUUGGUUUUAAAAUUCUGUUUUAAAACAAUUUUAACCUAAACAAACUGAUUGACUGACUCAAGAAUGUUCAACACUCAUACGACUUGCAAGGGGAAUUUCUUUACGCAUAAUUAUCAACCACUUAGUGUGGAUUUCAAAGAAAUUGCUAUUUUGAAAAAGACUCUCAAGAUAAUCCUCUGUUGCCUCCAAUUCUAAGUGAUAUAAUAUUUUUUACUUCAUUCUUCCUAUACCCAAUAUUGUUAUACUUGCCUACUUGUGACCUAGCACUUACCUGGACCUUAUUUUCAGGUUAAAUCACGGGUGAACGACAUGAGCAGAUCAACACCAGAGGCUGAAAUAGAAUUUAAUGGUCGACCCCCCUGGUUAGGUUAAAUUUGUUAUGAACUGGUAUAAGUGUAAUGUUGUGUUAUAUAUAAACACAAUCAUUAUACCCAUUGGCUUUAACUAACCGAGAAAGCUUUAUGUGAUAUGAUAUGAAGGCUAGGAAAAUACUUAAAUGCGAAAUCGAGAGUAGGAAGGAGUUUAAACAGUGCAGGAUGCCACACAGUACCAGUCAUUUUCAAGUCUGAUUCUGCGUCAAUGGCUAGUUUGAACAACUCAGAUGAACUGAAUUGAGGGACCAUAAAUUCUUCAAGCCUACAGUAUUAAUAAAUUAGUUGUAGUCUACAACAUUCUACAAUGUUCCUGGACUAUUUGGUAUGGAUAUCAAACAAUCAGUCAAUUGGCAAUCCCAGAUUGAACACUUGUGACCUUGGAAAAAUAGGCACUUGAAAUGUAUUUUCAAAUAAUGAAUUUCUUAUUUACUCUUUAAGAACAAUAAUGUUUUAUGAACAGAAGAAAUCCCCAUUCACAUACAAGAAACAAGAGAAUCACUUGUUACUCCACAGUGAUAGCAAGGUCCCAACUAAAACCAGACCAGAGUACGUACAAUGAAAAUUAAAAAUUCGUAUCUCUAACAAAUUUAAGAAGACAGAUUCGAGAAAAGUUCAUACCUUUAACAAUUUAAUUUGAAGAAGACAGAUUCCAGAUUCUCUUUAUGGAUUGAUGGAGAAUAAUUUGAUCAAAAAACAUAUAAAAAUAGCCCUAAAAUUGAUCAUGCAAUAGUAUUUAGGUAAACAGUUAUUGAUAUCAUCCAAUGGUUGGAACUUUUUAAAGUUAAAUUGAAUUUAGAAGUAUUGAUCGAAACCAUUAAAUCUCCAGGAAUAGUAUCUAAUACUAUAAGGAAGAAGAAGGAAAUUGAUUUGAUUUGGGUUUGGAUUUGGGUCGGCUUA
rnacentral:lncRNA from 1 species